CUGCAUAGGAACUAACUCUGUUGCAACUGGGUGGCUCCCUGCAUGCUAAGGUGCCCAGUCUGGCUAACUGCGACAACAGAGCCACACAGAGAAGCUCAGGGCCUUCUCAGAGAUCCCAUGACUUGUGUUGGGAGGGAGAUUAAACUAGAGCACAGCUCUGCUGUUCUGCUAACAUCUGUACAGCUCAGACUGGUUACAUCUGGGCUUUUUCUUCUGAGCUGUGCAGGACUCCAGGGAACGAGUCCCAUGAGCCUUUGGAAGAAAACAACAGAAAAAAUUGCUGUCUUGCUUUGGUCCUUUUCUACGAGACGGGGUUGAGGUCAGCUGCACACUCAAAAACCUGGUUGGAUUUACUGCAGUCAUUCAGUGACAGAGGGAGCAGAGAAAGACCUCUGAGUUAUCUGUAGUUCUGGGGACCUAGACUAGUGGUUGGUGCAGAGGAGAUCUGAGAGAUCAACUGGACAAGAGCAAAGGAUCUUGGCAUGGGAAGCCUGAAUGUGACGCAAGAUGAGGAAACUCCCACAAAAACAAUUUCAGACUUGCACGGUGCCCCGGGAAGGAAGAUGUCCAACUGGACGGCUGUAACUGAGUUCCUGCUCCUGGGCUUCUCUGACACUCGGGAG